rnacentral:rRNA from 1 species
GGGGAAUCUUGCGCAAUGGGCGAAAGCCUGACGCAGCGACGCCGCGUGAGUGAUGAAGGCCUUCGGGUUGUAAAGCUCUGUGGAGGGGGACGAAUAAGUCGGAGCGAAUAGCUCCGAUGAUGACGGUACCCCUUUAGCAAGCACCGGCUAACUCUGUGCCAGCAGCCGCGGUAAGACAGAGGGUGCAAACGUUGUUCGGAAUUACUGGGCGUAAAGCGCGUGUAGGCUGCUCGACAAGUCGGAUGUGAAAGCCCUGGGCUCAACCUAGGAAGUGCAUUCGAUACUGUCGAGCUUGAGUCCCGGAGAGGAAGGCGGAAUUCUCGGUGUAGAGGUGAAAUUCGUAGAUAUCGAGAGGAACACCGGUGGCGAAGGCGGCCUUCUGGACAGUGACUGACGCUGAGACGCGAAAGCGUGGGGAGCAAAC